rnacentral:rRNA from 1 species
GGCCUAAUACAUGCAAGUCGAACGGUGGUAGCAAUACCAUAGUGGCGCACGGGUGCGUAACACGUAACUAAUCUACCUACAACUGGGGGAUAGCCCGCCGAAAGGCGGAUUAAUACCGCAUAACACUUGAUUUCGGCAUCGAGAUUUAGUUAAAGAUUUAUUGGUUGUAGAUGAGGUUGCGGGUCAUUAGCUAGUUGGUUGGGUAACGGCUGACCAAGGCGACGAUGACUAGGGGAGCUGAGAGGCUGGUCCCCCACACGGGCACUGAGAUACGGGCCCGACUCCUACGGGAGGCAGCAGUAGGGAAUAUUGGGCAAUGGGCGAGAGCCUGACCCAGCCAUGCCGCGUGCAGGAAGAAGGCCUUCUGAGUCGUAAACUGCUUUUGACAGGGAAGAAUAAGCACUACGUGUAGUGCGAUGACGGUACCUGCAGAAUAAGCACCGGCUAACUCCGUGCCAGCAGCCGCGGUAAUACGGAGGGUGCGAGCGUUGUCCGGAUUUAUUGGGUUUAAAGGGUGCGUAGGCGGCCUGAUAAGUCCGGGGUGAAAGCCCGUUGCUCAACAACGGAACUGCCCUGGAUACUGUGAGGCUUGAGUACAGACGAGGUUGGCGGAAUGGACCGAGUAGCGGU